CGUUAGUCGGCAGUGUGAAAAAUCGCGCAGCGUGGGUUGUUUAUUUAGCUAGCUACCUAGCUUGACAAGUCAGACCUUAGUCAAAGGUGAAGAGCUGCGAAGAGUAGCAUUAGCUAGCUAGCUAGUACAAAUUGUGAUUCAUGAUUAUUUGGACGAUUUAAAUUAAAAUACCUCCUCGGAGUAGUGCCAGACCAGGUUUGAGGGAAAUACUGCUAGGGACCUGCAAGGUGUAUGGAUAAACGGAACACCAAAGUGUCAGACGGUGGAAAGGCGUGGCAGACCUGCGGUGUGCAUGACAAGAUGUGGGUGACCCCAUGAAAGGACGCUUUGGAUAAAGUCUGCUGAACAUAGCAGGCGAGGCCACACCCACCUUGCCCC